rnacentral:tRNA from 1 species
GUGUGGCUCUGAGGUAGAGCAUCUGCUUUGCAUGCAGAAGGUUCCAGGUUCUAAUCCCAAGUUGAAAAGACCA